AGUGAACGCUGGCGGUAGGCCUAACACAUGCAAGUCGAACGGCAGCACAGUAAGAGCUUGCUCGUACGGGUGGCGAGUGGCGGACGGGUGAGGAAUACAUCGGAAUCUACUUUUUCGUGGGGGAUAACGGAGGGAAACUUACGCUAAUACCGCAUACGACCUACGGGUGAAAGCAGGGGAUCUUCGGACCUUUCGCGAUUGAAUGAGCCGAUGUCGGAUUAGCUAGUUGGCGGGGUAAAGGCCCACCAAGGCGACGAUCCGUAGCUGGUCUGAGAGGAUGAUCAGCCACACUGGAACUGAGACACGGUCCAGACUCCUACGGGAGGCAGCAGUGGGGCAUAUUGGACAAUGGGAGCCAGCCUGCUCCAGCCAUACCGCGUGGGUGAAGAAGGCCUUCGGGUUGUAAAGCCCUUUUGUUAGGAAAGAAAAGCAGCAGGUUAAUCCCCCGCUGUUCUGACGGUACCAAAAGCAUAAGCACCGGCUCACUUCGUG
rnacentral:rRNA from 1 species